GAUGAACGCUAGCUACAGGCUUAACACAUGCAAGUCGAGGGACCGGCGCACGGGUGAGUAACACGUAUCCAACCUGCCCUUCACUCGGGGAUAGCCUUUCGAAAGCAAGAUUAAUACCCGAUAUAAAGGAUGGGGAUGCGUUCCAUUAGGUUGUUGGUGAGGUAACGGCCCACCAAGCCUUCGAUGGAUAGGGGUUCGGAGAGGAAGGUCCCCCGCAUUGGAUAUAAGGCACGGACCAAAACGCUACGGGGGACUGCGGAGAUGUAUAUUGGUCAAUAGAGUGUAGCCUGAACAAGCCAAGUAGCGGGAAGUAGUAUGGCUUAUGAGUCGUAAACUUCUUUGAUAUAAGAAUAUGUAUUAUAUGAAUAAGUAUCGGCUAACUCCGUGCCAGCAGCCGCGGUAAUUC
rnacentral:rRNA from 1 species